GACGAACGCUGGCGGCGUGCUUAACACAUGCAAGUCGAACGGAAAGGCCCUGCUUUUGCGGGGUGCUCGAGUGGCGAACGGGUGUGUAACACGUGAGUAACCUGCCCUUGACUUUGGGAUAACUUCAGGAAACUGGGGCUAAUACCGGCUAGGAGCUCCUGCUGCAUGGUGGGGGUUGGACAGUUUCGGCGGUUGGGGAUGGACUCGCGGCUUACCAGCUUGUUGGUGGGGUAGUGGCCUACCAAGGCUUCGACGGGUAGCCGGCCUGAGAGGGGGAACGGCCACCAUAGGACUGCGAUACGGCCCAGUCUCCUACGGGAGGCAGCAGUGGGGAAUAUUGCACAAUGGGCGGAAGCCUGAGGCAACAACGCCGCGUGCGGGAUGACGGCCUUCGGGUUGUAAACCGCUUUCACCUGUGACGAAGCGGGAGUGACGGUAAUGGGUAAAGAAGCACCGGCUAACUACGUG
rnacentral:rRNA from 1 species